UACAGAUCCGUUUAUGCUGGAAAAUGAUCC
rnacentral:piRNA from 1 species